CCAAGACUUCUCAUUGUAACUAACUUCACAUAGGGAUUGAUUGAGCUGACAAUGUGGAGGCUUCAUCUCAUCCGUUUCAUAACAACUUCCUAUGUCUCUUUGUAGAACGGUUGUUUGCUCUGGAAUAGAUGUCAUCUUAUAGGAACCGAGAAACAGCAAUUUGAGUAAGGAAGAUAACAUGUUUGUCAAGGGGUGCAAAACACUGCUGCCCCGAAGUAUCCAUGUCAUCUUCCAAGUUCAAAUUGAUACCAUGACAUAAGUCUUCCCCACCAUUUGAUUCCUAAAUUGUUCCUGGAGUUUUGAAAGGGGCAUCCAGAAUAUUAGUCAAGUCCAGUAAGUAGCUGUGAAGGCCCCCAGUGGAGGUGUGGCCCUCUCUGGAGACCACUGAGGAUCAUCGAGAACGACAAACUCCAGCUCCAAACUACCUGCACCAUGGAGGUUAACUUGUAAAAUUAUAAAAAAACCAUCAAACUUGUGGCAUAAUUACUAUAACAUGAAAGACUUCUGCAGUUAAUUCAUUUAGCAUGCUCACGAGGAAGAAACAAAUAAGACAAUAUAUAUGUGUGAAAGUGUAUAUAUCCUUAGUGGCCCAAGAAAUAUUAAGUUUGGUUCUACAUAUUCCUGGAAGUUUUACUAUGUACACUGAUUUUCAAAGUUUUAUUUAAUACUUUAAAUUUUUAGCCCAUGUUAUACAUAUAGUGUCAAUAAUACUGAUUCAGGAAUGGAAAAACUUGUUAGAGGAUAAAAAAGCAAUUAAUACAUGACCCAAAAUUAAUAAAGGGCCCACUCAGGCAAUGUGACAAAAAUAAAAGUACAAUUACUCAAUAUUACACUAUAUAUAUUCAGAAGCUCAAUAAAAGGAUAAUACUUUCUGGGGGAAGCAGAGAGGAUGCUUGUAAGACCAGUUUACUCUCACAUACAGUUUAAAUUAAAAGACAGGAGCCAUUUCAUGCAAACAAAGAACAAUCAGAUGUGACCAGCUUUGGCCAGUCAAAAUUAUUGAUCUCUUUAGGUCUCUUUAUGGAGUAACAUGAAAAUGUUGAUAAUAUAAAAGAGUCACAUGGAAAUUAUUUCCGUGAACCCCAUAACAAAAUUCAACGUUGGGGGAAAAGUGAAGUCCCAAUCAAAAGAAAUGGAGAGAAUUCUUAAAUCCAUAUACCAAUCCUAUGCAUUUCACUAUGAGUUGAUAAUGAAUUCUCAUUCCUUUUGAAAAAUGAGGCUAGCAAGGUGUGUAGGCAAAAAGGAAACCAACAAAACUGGUAGCACUAACCUCCAUUUCAUAAUCAGAUAGGGGGACAAACACGAAUAACCUUUUCAUGUUUUAUAAGCAUUCGAAAUCAAGUGCGUUGAGUCUACAAAGUCACAAUAUAUAGAUUUACUAACCUCAUGAGAGAAGGCUAUUCAAGUUGAUCAAGACCUCACAGUCGGCUAGGACUACAAGUUCUCAAAAUGAUGUUGGGGAUUCUGUUCACAAGGCUUUAACGAGGCCAGAGUACGCUUCUUCUAACAAGUCUACUGAGUAUCUCCCUCCCCUUGCUCUUUAAAGAGUAGUCUUUCCUAUCCUUUUUUAAUUUAUGAAUUUAUUUACCCAUUAAAAGAAAGGAACAUCCUUAUGAAAAAACUGACCCCAAUGAGAACAUAGUUUUUUGCCACUCAAAACCAACCGCCACAAAAAAACAGAUAAAAAAAAGAAUCAGACAAUACAUAGCAACAAAAGAAAAAUAUUUUCUUUAAUUGAACAUCAUAUUGACAGAAUAAUUUAAAUAUCAUUGACCCUUUAGUACGAAAUGCAACCAUGAACCAACUGCACAAACUCAGACAUAUAAUAAACUGGAUAACAAAUAACAAAGGGGAAUCCUCUGAAACAAUCAAUGGUAUAACAGGUAACCUAAAGUUGAACUACCAGUUUCAUCACCAUUUGCAUCCUUGUACCUCAACUGUAAGUUGAUGACUUC